UACGUAGGCGGCCUUUUAAGUCAGGUGUGAAAGCGUGAGGCUUAACCUCAUUAAGCACUUGAAACUGGAAGACUUGAGUGAAGGAGAGGAAAGUGGAAUUCCUAGUGUAGCGGUGAAAUGCGUAGAUAUUAGGAGGAAUACCGGUGGCGAAGGCGACUUUCUGGACUUUUACUGACGCUCAGGUACGAAAGCGUGGGGAGCAAACA
rnacentral:rRNA from 1 species